UACGUAGGGUGCGAGCGUUGUCCGGAAUUACUGGGCGUAAAGAGCUCGUAGGUGGUUUGUCGCGUUGUUCGUGAAAUCUCACGGCUUAACUGUGAGCGUGCGGGCGGUACGGGCAGACUGGAGUACUGCAGGGGAGACUGGAAUUCCUGGUGUAGCGGUGGAAUGCGCAGAUAUCAGGAAGAACACCCGUGGCGAAGGCGGCUCUCUGGAACGCAACUGACGCUGAGACGCGAAAGCGUGGGGAGCAAACAGG
rnacentral:rRNA from 1 species